rnacentral:rRNA from 1 species
AGAGUUUGAUCCUGGCUCAGGACGAACGCUGGCGGCGUGCUUAACACGUGCAAGUCGAACGGUAAGGCCCUUCGGGGUACACGAGUGGCGAACGGGUGAGUAACACGUGGGUAAUCUGCCCUGCACAUCGGGAUAAGCCUGGGAAACUGGGUCUAAUACCGAAUAGGACCACAGGACACAUGUCCUGUGGUGGAAAGCUUUUGCGGUGUGGGAUGGGCCCGCGGCCUAUCAGCUUGUUGGUGGGGUGAUGGCCUACCAAGGCGACGACGGGUAGCCGGCCUGAGAGGGUGUCCGGCCACACUGGGACUGAGAUACGGCCCAGACUCCUACGGGAGGCAGCAGUGGGGAAUAUUGCACAAUGGGCGAAAGCCUGAUGCAGCGACGCCGCGUGGGGGAUGACGGCCUUCGGGUUGUAAACCUCUUUCACCAUCGACGAAGAUCCGGGUUUUCUCGGGCUGACGGUAGGUGGAGAAGAAGCACCGGCCAACUACGUGCCAGCAGCCGCGGUAAUACGUAGGGUGCGAGCGUUGUCCGGAAUUACUGGGCGUAAAGAGCUCGUAGGUGGUUUGUCGCGUUGUUCGUGAAAUCUCACGGCUUAACUGUGAGCGUGCGGGCGAUACGGGCAGACUUGAGUACUGCAGGGGAGACUGGAAUUCCUGGUGUAGCGGUGGAAUGCGCAGAUAUCAGGAGGAACACCGGUGGCGAAGGCGGGUCUCUGGGCAGUAACUGACGCUGAGGAGCGAAAGCGUGGGGAGCGAACAGGAUUAGAUACCCUGGUAGUCC